UUGAUGGGCAGCGGAAAAAAAUCAACACAUAUUAAGAGUAGACUGUAGGACUAGAGUUCCAAGUGCUCUUUCCUUUACCACAUUAUCAACCAGACUUGGCAUUUUGUGGCUUCUCACACAUGGUUUUCAGUCCACCAAGCUUGAUACUUUCAGACUAUGGAAAGAACCAGUCUGGUGAUCCUUGUCCUACUGAGCACUGUAAUUAAGAAAAGUUUUGGGUGCUUCUGUGACCAUUAUCCCUGGAGUUCCUGGUCCAGUUGUUCAAAGACUUGCAAUCAUGGAAUACAAAGCAGAUCAAGAGAAAGAGUCUAUGAUGCCUAUUAUUAUAAGAAUUCUUGCGACAGAUUGUGUGCCUGGAGUGAAACUCGGGUCUGUAACCAGCAAGCCUGCCCCAUCAACUGCCAGCUCAGUGACUGGGGCACCUGGUCAGAGUGUGACCCAUGUGUUAAAAAACAAUUUCGUGUCAGGUCUCUGCUACGCCCAUCUCAGUUUGGAGGUCAAUCCUGUACUGAGCAGUUGGCAGAUUUCCAGAGAUGCUUCCCAAGGAAAAUAUGCAGGAUAGAAGAAGUCAAUUGUGGGAAUAAGUUUGAGUGUGAAAAUGGCCGUUGCAUUGCCAGACAACUGAGAUGCAAUAGAGAAAAUGACUGUGGAGACAAUUCAGAUGAAAGGAAUUGUCAGGGGACGAAGACUGUGUGCAACAAGAGAGCCAAGAGCCUACCAAGUGUGCAUCUCAUGGGCCUUGGAUACCAUAUUCUGGCAGGAGAGAGCCCAGGGGAAGUCCUCGACUCUUCUUUCAAUGGGGGGACCUGUGUCCUGGUGGUGAGCAAAGACAAAAGGAGCACAUUCCGUGUGCCUGCAAACCUCGAGGCCAUCAGCUUUCAGGUGAAGCAUCAAGAAGAUGACCUGAAAACAGAUUACUACACAGACUUAACACCCUUGAUACGUUCGUAUAGUAAAAAAGAGUCUUCCAAGAGACACGAGAAAGAUUAUUCUGGAAUCCCGUAUUUUUGGGGCUCAAAAUCAAACACAGAAGCUACAUCAUCAGCUGCCUUCCAGGAAGCCAUUAAAUCAUCCCAUAAAGUGAACUCCAACUUUAUUAGGGUUCAUAAGGUGAUUGCUGUGUCAAACUUCACAGUGAAAAAGUCAGACUUGCACCUCUCUGGAGUGUUCCUACAGGCCCUCAAUAGCCUGCCUCUGGAGUACAACUAUGCCCUCUACAGCCGGAUAUUUGAUGACUUCGGGACUCAUUACUACACGUCUGGUUCAAUGGGAGGCAAAUAUGACCUUCUUUACCAGUACAAUGAAGAGCAGACAAGAAACUCAGGUUUAACAGAAGCCCAAAUGGAACACUGUGUGAGAACAGAAACAAAUAGUUAUAUUUUCUUCUUUAAGACAACAGAGUAUCAUGAGGAAUGCUUCAGAAAUAAAAUGACAGAGCGCUAUGAAGGUUCCAUGUUGAAGUCAUCUGAGCGGUCUGUUUCCUUGGUCAAGGGUGGACAGGCAGAAUAUGCUGCAGCCCUAGCCUGGGAGAAAAAAGGAUCUUUCCCGGGACAAACUACCUUUACCAACUGGCUGGAAUCAACCAAGGAAAAUCCAGUUGUGGUUGAGUUUGAGGUGACCCCCAUUCUGGAUUUGGUGAAGAACUUCCCAUGUGCUGUGACCAAGCGCAAUAAUCUCAGGAAGGCUUUUUCAGAAUAUAUGGGUAAAUAUGAUCCAUGUCGAUGUGCCCCAUGUCCCAACAACGGUCAACCUGUUUUAUCUGGAACCAAAUGUCUCUGUGUCUGCAAAGCUGGAACUUAUGGUGAUAACUGUGAGAUACAAGCUCCAGACUACCAAUCAGUUGCAGUAGAUGGCUUCUGGAGUUGCUGGUCUGCAUGGAGCACGUGUGAUGCAUCUUUUAAGAGGAGAAGGACUCGGUUGUGUAACAACCCCCCACCUACAAGUGGAGGAAAACCUUGUGAAGGUGAAGGAGAAGAAGAGGAAGACUGUUACAUCUCACUCUUUGCAGACAAAGGUGCUCCUUGCAUAAACGAUGAUGAAGCCAUAAGAGAGGUAGAAGUGUAUGAACCGGAACCAGACUCGGGAUGUGUGACUCCAGCACCACCAGAAAAUGGAUUCAUCAGGAAUGAGCAAACACAUUAUUCCAUUGGAGAAGAAGCCGAAGUUGUCUGCCUGAGUGGUUAUAAUCUUAUAGGCUACCAGUUCCUUAGGUGCCUGCCGGACAACACAUGGAUUCAGCACGCGGUCGAGUGCCAACCAUCGGCUUGUUCCAGACCAUCAGUCUCCAAUGCUAUUGAGAUUUCCCCAUUUAAAUUUCAGUACCAGAUUGGGGACAUCAUCCAGCUGAGUUGCCCAGAUGGUUAUGUUGUUACUGGCCAAAAGAAGUAUACCUGUGGGACUGAUUUAUCCUGGGGCCCUCCUGUUUUGAGAUCACUUACGUGCAAGAAAUAUGGGCAAACUAAUUCAAGAGGGAAUUGUAGCCUUGGACAAAAGGAAGUGGUGUCUCAGUGUGUCUGUAUGUCUCCUGAGGAAGACUGUGAUCUCUUCUCUGAAGAUAUUUGUGUACUGGAUGCAGCGUCUAAUGAAGCCCUUACAAAACUGGGCUGUCAUUAUCUGGCUGAAAGGUGCAAGGGCUCUGAACAGUUCCAUUUCCUCCAUUCUGGACCCUGCCACAAUACCAGUUUGAGCUGGGCCAUUGAGAGGACACGCCUUUCAUUGAACAGCACAAAGAAAGAACCCUGCAGAUAUGAUAUAUGUUAUGACUGGGAAACAUGUUCAGAAGACAGCCUUCCAAUGGGAGAAAAUCUUCAAUUAACACCCAUUGUCCCAGCCUCGUGGUCCAAUAUACUUUGCCCUGAUAUCCUGGCAGGCUUCUAGUUAUGCAGCAUAGCCUGGAGGCUUUUACGCCCAUCCUGAAUGUUCUGCCUAGAGAGAGGUCCUGUGAUGCUUCUCUUUAGCAUUAGUUCUGCACUGACGGUACCUUCUCCCUUCAGCCAAGUGCAAGAUCAAGCAGAACCAAGGCUCUCUUUCCACCUACUGUUCAUUUAGCUGAAUUUUAUCUCCAGUAAUACCAAAUGACAGAUCUGUCAAGCCAGGUAAAAUGAUGAAAAAGACAGUAUUUUAUUGUAAACAAAACUCCAUUUAUUUCUCCAAAGCUCUAACCUGCCAAGCCCUUGGUGGAUUUACUUGCUUAAUAGAAAUGGGAUACCAACAGCAACUCACCCACAUUCAUAUGGCAUCUUACACACACAUUUUGUCUGUUGGACUUUCUCCCACGGUUGGCAUUCAGGUCCAACAGGUUCAGUAUUAGCCAUGCUGGGAACUGCAGUGAAAGAACAAACACAAGAUCUGGAAGACGACAGUAAGACAAAGCCAUACUGCUACCCUUGCAUUUAUUCCAGAAUAUUCCCAUUCGCUUCAGUGGGGAGAUUCACACAGUGCCAUUCUGAGCCAGGGAUCAAGCUAGUGCUUAGUUUAGAGAGCUUGUGUAGUGCAGUGGCUAGAACCCUGAGCUAUGAAACAGUAAGUUUCCAAUUUGAAUCAUGUCUCUGCCACAGACUCACUAGGUGGCCUUAGGCAAGCCACUUAGCCCCAGCCCCCAUACUUACCCUACAGGCAGGAAGGGGAGGCAGGAUAAUAAUAUCGGAUCAUCAUACAGGACUUUUGUAAGGAUUACCACUAGAUAAUGCAUGCAAAGUGCUUUGAACGCUUGAAAGUGCUGCACAAUUGUUAAUCAUCAUCACCACCAUCAUCAUUGUCAUCAUCAUCCAAAACCAGAGGUGCUAAGGCUGAAGUAAGGAUGGAGGAGAAACGGGAUUUGGGUUGCCUCUCUGAAACCCUGGAGAACCACUGGCACCCAGUGCAGAUAAUACUGAGCUAGACGGACCAAUGGCCUGACUCGGUACAAAGUAGCUUCUGAUGUUCCUCUCAAUGGAUGGACUAUUCUGGAAGGAGAGUGCCACUUGGGAAUCCCAGCGCAGCUGUCUCUGCCUCAUUCCCUGGAUAUGCGUCAAUGUGGAAGAAGAAGAGCCAGUCCCUUUUUGCCAACUCAGAACACACAGAGGUCUGAUUUGCUUUGGCGGCCCCCCUCAAAACCAAGUGGGGAAGCAAGAUCAGAUAGUAUUAGGGGUGGGGGCGAAAUUCGAUGCGGUUUGCAUUGAAAGACGAAUCUAUCGAAUUCGCGCUUUCCAAAUUAUGACAAUAACCAAAACACAGCGAUCCCUUGAAAUUUGCACUUAUCCAAAUGUUGUGAUGCGGUUCUUCAACCAAAAAUCCUUACAAAUAUGCAUAAAGGAAAAUGUGGUUAACAACGAAUAUAUUGGCAGAAAUAAUAUACAAAAAUGUGUUAGGAGAAGUUGCUUUCAAAAAUGUGUAGAAUAGUCAGAACUGCAUACAAAAAUAUGUUUAUUAGGAGAAAAUCACAGUAAAUUGAUGAAUAAAAUCACAAAUUUCUGCAGAAAUGUGGAGAACUGAAUUUAAGAUUGAAAUAUGAGAAACGGAGAAAUCCCAAACUGACAGAUCCUUCCACUCUUGGUUAGAAAUGAUAAUGCCAUCAACAUUUUAUCCUACGGCUAGCCUGUAUCUAUGCACAAAUAAAACCAUCUAUCACAAAGGCAA